rnacentral:rRNA from 1 species
GACGGAGGGUGCUAGCGUUGUUCGGAAUUACUGGGCGUAAAGGGCGCGUAGGCGGCCUGUGAAGUCGGGUGUGAAAGCCCGGGGCUCAACCCCGGAACGGCACCCGAUACUCUCAGGCUCGAGACCGGGAGAGGUGGGUGGAAUACCCAGUGUAGAGGUGAAAUUCGUAGAUAUUGGGUGGAACACCGGUGGCGAAGGCGGCCCACUGGCCCGGUUCUGACGCUGAGGCGCGAAAGCGUGGGGAGCAAACAGG